rnacentral:rRNA from 1 species
UACGUAGGGUGCAAGCGUUUGUCCGGAAUUAUUGGGCGUAAAGAGCUCGUAGGCGGUUUGUCGCGUCGAAUGUGAAAACCCGGGGGCUCAACCCCGGGCCUGCAUUCGAUACGGGCAGACUAGAGUUCGGUAGGGGAGUCUGGAAUUCCUGGUGUAGCGGUGAAAUGGCGCAGAUAUCGGGAGGAACACCAGUGGCGAAGGCGGUUGCCGUGGAGC